rnacentral:tRNA from 1 species
GCUCGGAUGGUGAAAUUGGUAGACACAAGGGACUUAAAAUCCCUCGGACUUUUGUCCGUGCCGGUUCGAGUCCGGCUCCGAGCA